UGUCUGGCACUGAAGAAGGAUCUCUUUCUGGAGAUCUCUCCUUCUGGAGUUUGCUGAGGGCCUACAACACCGGGAAGUAAAGAGAGCCUGCAAUAAAAACCUCUUGUCAUGGCUGACCAGGAGAUGAAGUCAUAUGAGUUGCUGCUGACUGAGGUGAUCUGUGCUGCAGGCAUACUGGGACUCACCAUGAGAUGCCUCACCAGGCUGCACAGAAACUCCAGCCAUUCCUCAGCUCUGCUGAUGUUUAUGUAACUCUUCCUGCAGGCAGCACAGGACAGGAAGAAAAAAGUCAAAGGGAAUGGGCUUUGACUAGCUGUCAAGAUGUGAACUUUGAAUUUAGCUAACCUGUGCUUUAGUUGUUGCCUCAUCACACCCACAGCAUACUUCUCUCUGAACUUAGCCUUUUUAUGGAUUAACUCUUACCAAACAUACAUUAGCUUCACCUCCUAGCAAUGUGAUUUCUGAACAUAAAAUAAGUAAACGUCAACAGACCUGUCUUCUUGUCUACUCUUUUGCCUUGAGGUUGGAUAAACUAACUAAAUUGCUCUUAGAAGAUAUUUGAUGCAUUUUUAAUAGUACAGCUGCAUAAAGAUUAAAGUUCUGCAACCUUGCUAAACAAUCCAUCCCAGUGCUCAUCUGUUCUGCUCGGAUGUUUUACACAUCUUGAGCUGUGCAGCUAAUAUUUUAUUCAAGAGUAGCUCAUCUUGGGUUGAAACUAUCAAGAGAUGUGAAAGGUGGCAUGAAAUGCUUCUGUAAAAGCAUCAAUGGUAAAAAAGGAAGAAGAAGAAAGCGUGCAGCUUAACAUGGCAAGGGACCUAGAGAUGAAAGACAGAAAGAAGGCCAAGGUACCCAGAAUCUUUUCCCUCAAUUGAAUCUGCACAGACACAGGAUGAGCUCAGGCUGUCAUG